AUUGAACGCUGGCGGCAGGCCUAACACAUGCAAGUCGAACGGUAACAGGAAGCAGCUUGCUGCUUCGCUGACGAGUGGCGGACGGGUGAGUAAUGUCUGGGAAGCUGCCUGAUGGAGGGGGAUAACUACUGGAAACGGUAGCUAAUACCGCAUAAUGUCGCAAGACCAAAGAGGGGGACCUUCGGGCCUCUUGCCAUCGGAUGUGCCCAGAUGGGAUUAGCUUGUUGGUGGGGUAACGGCUCACCAAGGCGACGAUCCCUAGCUGGUCUGAGAGGAUGACCAGCCACACUGGAACUGAGACACGGUCCAGACUCCUACGGGAGGCAGCAGUGGGGAAUAUUGCACAAUGGGCGCAAGCCUGAUGCAGCCAUGCCGCGUGUAUGAAGAAGGCCUUCGGGUUGUAAAGUACUUUCAGCGGGCAGGAAGGGAGUAAAGUUAAUACCUUUGCUCAUUGACGUUACCCGCAGAAGAAGCACCGGCUAACUCCGUG
rnacentral:rRNA from 1 species